AGAAUCAACGCUGGCGGCGUGCCUAACACAUGCAAGUCGAACGGGAAAGUGGAGCAAUCCAUGAGUAUAGUGGCGACCGGGUGAGUAACACGUGACUAACCUACCCUUGAGUGGGGGAUAACCUCGGGAAACCGGGGCUAAUACCGCAUAAAAUCUUCGGGAUGAGAAGCUGGAGAUCAAAGGAGCAAUUCGCUUUUGGAGGGGGUCGCGGCUGAUUAGCUAGUUGGCGGGGUAACGGCCCACCAAGGCUUUGAUCGGUAUCCGGCCUGAGAGGGCGCACGGACACACUGGAACUGAAACACGGUCCAGACUCCUACGGGAGGCAGCAGUGGGGAAUUUUGCGCAAUGGGGGAAACCCUGACGCAGCAACGCCGCGUGGAGGAUGAAGUCCCUUGGGACGUAAACUCCUUUCGACCGGGAAGAUGAUGACGGUACCGGUGGAAGAAGCCCCGGCUAACUUCGCGCCAGCAACCGC
rnacentral:rRNA from 1 species